rnacentral:rRNA from 1 species
UACGUAGGGUCCGAGCGUUGUCCGGAAUUACUGGGCGUAAAGAGCUCGUAGGUGGUUUGUCGCGUUGUUCCGUGAAAACUCACAGCUUAACUGUGGGCGUGCGGGCGAUACGGGCAGACUGGAGUACUGCAGGGGAGACUGGAAUUCCUGGUGUAGCGGUGGAAUGCGCAGAUAUCAGGAGGAACACCGGUGGCGAAGGCGG